GGUUAAGCGACUAAGCGUACACGGUGGAUGCCCUGGCAGUCAGAGGCGAUGAAGGGCGUGCUAAUCUGCGAUAAGCGCCGGUAAGGUGAUAUGAACCGUUAUAACCGGCGAUACCCGAAUGGGGAAACCCAGUGUGAUUCGUCACACUAUCAUUAACUGAAUCCAUAGGUUAAUGAGGCGAACCGGGGGAACUGAAACAUCUAAGUACCCCGAGGAAAAGAAAUCAACCGAGAUUCCCCCAGUAGCGGCGAGCGAACGGGGAGGAGCCCAGAGCCUGAAUCAGCAUGUGUGUUAGUGGAAGCGUCUGGAAAGGCGCGCGAUACAGGGUGACAGCCCCGUACACAAAAGCGCAUGUGCUGUGAGCUCGAUGAGUAGGGCGGGACACGUGGUAUCCUGUCUGAAUAUGGGGGGACCAUCCUCCAAGGCUAAAUACUCCUGACUGACCGAUAGUGAACCAGUACCGUGAGGGAAAGGCGAAAAGAACCCCGGCGAGGGGAGUGAAAAAGAACCUGAAACCGUGUACGUACAAGCAGUGGGAGCACAGGUUUACCUGUGUGACUGCGUACCUUUUGUAUAAUGGGUCAGCGACUUAUAUUCUGUAGCAAGGUUAACCGUAUAGGGGAGCCGGAGGGAAACCGAGUCUUAAUUGGGCGUUAAGUUGCAGGGUAUAGACCCGAAACCCGGUGAUCUAGCCAUGGGCAGGUUGAAGGUUGGGUAACACUAACUGGAGGACCGAACCGACUAAUGUUGAAAAAUUAGCGGAUGACCUGUGGCUGGGGGUGAAAGGCCAAUCAAACCGGGAGAUAGCUGGUUCUCCCCGAAAGCUAUUUAGGUAGCGCCUCGUGAAUUCAUCUCCGGGGGUAGAGCACUGUUUCGGCUAGGGGGCCAUCCCGGCUUACCAACCCGAUGCAAACUGCGAAUACCGGAGAAUGUUAUCACGGGAGACACACGGCGGGUGCUAACGUCCGUCGUGAAGAGGGAAACAACCCAGACCGCCAGCUAAGGUCCCAAAGUCAUGGUUAAGUGGGAAACGAUGUGGGAAGGCCCAGACAGCCAGGAUGUUGGCUUAGAAGCAGCCAUCAUUUAAAGAAAGCGUAAUAGCUCACUGGUCGAGUCGGCCUGCGCGGAAGAUGUAACGGGGCUAAACCAUGCACCGAAGCUGCGGCAGCGACGCUGAUGCGUUGUUGGGUAGGGGAGCGUUCUGUAAGCCUGCGAAGGUGACCUGUGAGGGUUGCUGGAGGUAUCAGAAGUGCGAAUGCUGACAUAAGUAACGAUAAAGCGGGUGAAAAGCCCGCUCGCCGGAAGACCAAGGGUUCCUGUCCAACGUUAAUCGGGGCAGGGUGAGUCGACCCCUAAGGCGAGGCCGAAAGGCGUAGUCGAUGGGAAACGGGUUAAUAUUCCCGUACUUGGUGUUACUGCGAAGGGGGGACGGAGAAGGCUAUGUUGGCCGGGCGACGGUUGUCCCGGUUUAAGCGUGUAGGUGUGUGUUCCAGGUAAAUCCGGUUCACUUUAACACUGAGGCGUGACGACGAGGCACUACGGUGCUGAAGCAACAAAUGCCCUGCUUCCAGGAAAAGCCUCUAAGCAUCAGGUAACACGAAAUCGUACCCCAAACCGACACAGGUGGUCAGGUAGAGAAUACCAAGGCGCUUGAGAGAACUCGGGUGAAGGAACUAGGCAAAAUGGUGCCGUAACUUCGGGAGAAGGCACGCUGACACGUAGGUGAAGUGAUUUACUCAUGGAGCUGAAGUCAGUCGAAGAUACCAGCUGGCUGCAACUGUUUAUUAAAAACACAGCACUGUGCAAACACGAAAGUGGACGUAUACGGUGUGACGCCUGCCCGGUGCCGGAAGGUUAAUUGAUGGGGUCAGCGCAAGCGAAGCUCCUGAUCGAAGCCCCGGUAAACGGCGGCCGUAACUAUAACGGUCCUAAGGUAGCGAAAUUCCUUGUCGGGUAAGUUCCGACCUGCACGAAUGGCGUAAUGAUGGCCAGGCUGUCUCCACCCGAGACUCAGUGAAAUUGAACUCGCUGUGAAGAUGCAGUGUACCCGCGGCAAGACGGAAAGACCCCGUGAACCUUUACUAUAGCUUGACACUGAACAUUGAGCCUUGAUGUGUAGGAUAGGUGGGAGGCUUUGAAGUGUGGACGCCAGUCUGCAUGGAGCCGACCUUGAAAUACCACCCUUUAAUGUUUGAUGUUCUAACGUGGACCCGUAAUCCGGGUUGCGGACAGUGUCUGGUGGGUAGUUUGACUGGGGCGGUCUCCUCCUAAAGAGUAACGGAGGAGCACGAAGGUUGGCUAAUCCUGGUCGGACAUCAGGAGGUUAGUGCAAUGGCAUAAGCCAGCUUGACUGCGAGCGUGACGGCGCGAGCAGGUGCGAAAGCAGGUCAUAGUGAUCCGGUGGUUCUGAAUGGAAGGGCCAUCGCUCAACGGAUAAAAGGUACUCCGGGGAUAACAGGCUGAUACCGCCCAAGAGUUCAUAUCGACGGCGGUGUUUGGCACCUCGAUGUCGGCUCAUCACAUCCUGGGGCUGAAGUAGGUCCCAAGGGUAUGGCUGUUCGCCAUUUAAAGUGGUACGCGAGCUGGGUUUAGAACGUCGUGAGACAGUUCGGUCCCUAUCUGCCGUGGGCGCUGGAGAACUGAGGGGGGCUGCUCCUAGUACGAGAGGACCGGAGUGGACGCAUCACUGGUGUUCGGGUUGUCAUGCCAAUGGCACUGCCCGGUAGCUAAAUGCGGAAGAGAUAAGUGCUGAAAGCAUCUAAGCACGAAACUUGCCCCGAGAUGAGUUCUCCCUGAGACUUAGAGUCUCCUGAAGGAACGUUGAAGACGACGACGUUGAUAGGCCGGGUGUGUAAGCGCAGCGAUGCGUUGAGCUAACCGGUACUAAUGAACCGUGAGGCUUAACCUU
rnacentral:rRNA from 1 species